rnacentral:rRNA from 1 species
AUUGAACGCUGGCGGCAUGCUUUACACAUGCAAGUCGAACGGCAGCACGGGGGCAACCCUGGUGGCGAGUGGCGAACGGGUGAGUAACACAUCGGAACGUGCCCAGUUGUGGGGGAUAACCUAUCGAAAGGUAGGCUAAUACCGCAUGAGCUCGGCAAGAGGAAAGCGGGGGACUCAGCGAUGGGCCUCCGCGCGGACUGGAGCGGCCGAUGUCCGAUUAGCUAGNGGUGGGGUAAGGCUUACCAAGGCGACGAUCGGUAGCUGUCUGAGAGGAUGAUCAGCCACACUGGGACUGAGACACGGCCCAGACUCCUACGGGAGGCAGCAGUGGGAAUCUUGCGCAAUGGGCGAAAGCCUGACGCAGCGACGCCGCGUG